CUCUUUCUGCUACAGGUUGACCACGAGUUUCUAUGUAAUGCUGGACAUGGUGAGACUUUUUCAGCGGUUGGGUUGUUGGACGAGUUAUGUCGAUGAACUCUUGUAUGAGAUCUUUAUAUUUCCCAUGGUGUAAGAAACAAGGUGAACCGUUCCGGAGGAUGCGCAAUCGUCCAACAACAUGGCGGUAAUGGCGGAUCUGUAGCAACCAAUCAAAAUUUGAUUCAGAAUAACAUAACCAUAACAACAUUCUCUUAUUGCACACAUGGUGCACAUGGUGUAUUGAUCGGCUUGGAUUUGGAUCAAAAGAAAAUUAAAAUUUUUUUUAACGCAAAUCAUGCCAACUUGCUGUGUACUACAUUGCAAAAAUCGUACCGGCAUUUAUGAAAAACGGAGUGUUAAAUAUUUUACAUUUCCUAAAGAGCCUGCUGUUCGGCAGCAAUGGUUAAACGCUUGCAAAUUAAAUGAGCGUAACAUCAAGGUUGAUUCUGCUAGGGUAUGUGACAUGCAUUUCACAGAGAGCUGCUUCGAAGUGAAAAUGACAAAUGAAAAGAAACCGACGAUAAAUGAAAAUACCAAAGAAACUGAAAAAGAGUUUGAUACCAACAGAAAAUCUAUUGCUGGAAAAGCAGGAUAGAACUGUGUUACGUUCCAAAAGACAAAAUGUUAGACAAAACGUAGGAAUGCCAAGCUUUUGAAUGCAAAACUUGUGAAUUCCUAUAGAACUUGGGACAUUGUACCAGAAGUACAUCAGGUAUUACAGGCAGCGGAGACACCGCAGGCAGCGGAGACACCGCAGACAGCGGAGACACCGCAGGCAGCGGAAACAACGCAGA